GUCAGUCAGAUCAGCAAACAGUACAGCUUGUCGGGUUGAAGGAGCCAGAGCCCUUUGUGCCAGGUGCUGUAAAAAAGAAGAGAAGACAAUUUCUGCUGGAGAAAGCUAAGGGUCUACAGCCAAGGAAAUCCGAUGGAUGCUGACUGACAGUCCAGGGAGAGAAAUUGGCUGACUUGUAAAAGAUUACAAAUGUCCAUGGACUGAAACUCCCCCUGGAAAUGUCCAUCUCACUCCAGUGCCUGUAGGAGAAAUCUAGAGCAAAUGACACUCAAAGGUACACUAGCAUCUAUAUAACAGGAACAGGCAAAGCCAGCAGUGGAUAUGUUGAAAUGGUCUUCUGCAGCCAAACAAAAGAUAUUUCUACUGACACCUGAUCAGAUGCAAGAGAGCUCUGCUUGUCCUCUCUGUUGAUGAGGAAGGGCAAGGCUGUGACAAUGCAGCACAUACCUGGACUCAUUCAGCCUUCCAAGUCAUCUGGCUCUGUGAUUGGCCCUACCUGGGUGGGAAGUGGCUUUGUUGCAAAGUUUGCUUGUCUUUCAGGGCAAAGUCGGUAGACCCAUUGCCCAUUAUUCCGGCAAUCAUUCUGGAAACUGUAAUUUGUUUCUUCCCCUCUGCUUGGUUCAGUAGUGAGCUCUCAAAUGUCAGCUUAGGACUUCUGUGAUCAUGUACUUGGAAAGAUAUAGCCUAUAGUAUGAUACAUCUUUGUAUAUGGGGUUCAAGGUCUGAUUUAACCCCUCAUUAGAGCACUUCUGUACUGAUUAAUGAUUCACAUUAAUGUAAAAAAACCCCCACAAUUAGAAGACCAGAUUUUACCACAAAGAACAUAAGUAAUACUUUUGAUUGAAUGGCUAGCAACAAAUAAUACUGAUCAGAAGAAACAAGAAUUUAUUUUCUUUAAUUCCUUCAUAAAAGGUUUUGUUACCCAAGAAUACAACUCCUGCUUUUAAUGUGGAGACUUCUCAUUGCAGUAUUCAUCAAUCAUCCCAAACUGUUCUGUAGAAAAAUUAAUCUAAUUUUUAGGAACAGCAGAAAAAGAACAGUAUAUUAAAGGCAAAAACAAUAUGCAAGAACCUCACCUUUAGCUGAACACACCUAAAAGUUGGGACUGAGAGGUCCACUUCCAUGACUUUUGUCUGGAAGCUAAUCCAAGAAAUACAGGAGCUGGUGGAUGAACGGACAUAAACAGAGUAGUCAGGGUGUUGUUAAUCCCUCACACGAGUGCAAAAACCACAAUAGCUUCAUUGCAACACUGGUUGCACCAAAUCACAGAAUCAGCAUGGUUGGGAAGGACCUCUGAGAUCAUUGAGUCCAAUCAUCAACACAAAAUAAAAGAAACCUAAACCUUAGCCACUAGAGCAUGGCCUGAGGUCCCACAUCUACACGUUUCUUGAACACCUCCAAGCACGGCGACUUCACCACCUCCCUGGGCAGCCUGUUCCAGUGCCUGACCACUCUUUUGGUAAAGAAAUCCUUCCUAAUACCCAAUCUAAACAUCCCCUGCUGCAAUUUCAGGCCAAUUCCUCUGGUCCUGUCAUUAUUCACUAGGGAGAAGAGGCCAACUCCCAUCUCCCUAUAACCUCCUUUCAGGUUGUUGUAGAGGGCAAU